UGAUGAACCUCUGACCCUAGUCCCUGAGGAAGAAAUACUUCUCAGUUCUGCAAUUGUCAGGAGCAAAGAUCAUCAUUUCCUUGGCCUAUUCUUGUCACUGAUUGGUGUGCUACCAAUAUACACUGGAUGAGCUUCAGGAGGGAGCUGCCCUGAGAGCCUCCCACUGGUCAUCAACCUCACAGUCGUGAAAGAAAACACUGCAGUUGAUCACUGGGGAAGACUGGGGUCAGCAGGACCUUUUCACAGUAAUUCAUCCUGACCCUCAUCAGCUUUACCUCCUAAAGUAUCUCUUUUCUAAGCAAAAGCAUACCCACACACCUCUCCAAGCUCACAACUCUCAAAGAGCAAUCCGGGAAGUUCUAACAUUCAUAUAUUUGUUUCAGAGAGUUCAGGCAUCCCACAAUGUCCUCAUGGACAAAGUUCAUUUUCAACCCAAUUAAUCUCUACUGAAACAGUCAUAUUUAUAGAAGAUUCAAGUAUUGCCUGUCUGUGGGGAUCCCAAAGGAAGCCACAGAUCUGAAGGCAUGGUUUCUUUUGAAGAAUCCAAACAAGACAAAAUUGAAAAACAAGAAUAUUUUAAAUAAUGACUUUGUUCUGGCAAAACCUGAAAGAUCUGUUAUUCUAGUCACUAGAAAUAACUUAGCAUUUGGGAAUUAGCAACUGAUGAACUCCUCACUACUCGAUUAAGCUUAGUUAGAUCUUAAUACUUUCAAUUUGGAGAUCUAUUAACAAUGCUUGGUUUUUUUUCUCUUGUGUUUCAGUGUAUUAAAAGGGUUCAUUAAACAAGUAAUAUCAUUCAAUAGUGAUCUCCUGAGUCCCAAAAUGAAGGUUUCUGUCUUUUAAUUUCUGAAGAUGCUUGGUCAAACAAUUAAUCCAACCCCACUUAAUGCAGUUAAGUCAUCUUCUUCCCAAGAGCUCAUGAACAAGAAAUUAUCACGGGCUAUAAGGUGGAAAACCCCCAAUAUUGACCACAUCCUCUGUCAUGUCACAGAAUCAGCCUGGCUUGUAAAGUUCACAGCUCAACACAGUCUCCCCUGACCAGUGAUGCAAGAGCAACUAAGCCCAGCAAUGCCAAGUCUGCUUGGGCUAUUUCCAGUCCCAACGGUGGCCGCUGUGCAUCUUUUUUUCAUGUUUUAUCUGAACUCCUCAAAUCAAUUUUUGAAACAUGCUUAUGGUCUACUUUGUAAUUAUGUCCUUCUUUAUUUGCAGCACUCAAGAUAAAGCCCAGGCCCUGAGACACAUGGAAAAGCAAUCUAUACCUACCGCAGAGGGGCAGGAACCUUCUCACAGAUGGAGCUCCUAGGACGGGGUCUUGGUAUGGAUGCAAGGCAGGUGGCCUCAACCGCAUGAUCCCCCUGCUUCAGUCUCCAAAGGGCCAGGCACACAUGUGAGUUAGAGAUUCCUCAAGACUGUGGAGGAUGAGACUGGGAACAGGAGCCCACCUGGUUGAAGGAGGAGUCGCUGUCGGAGCAAUUGUCCGUACAGCAGCUGCCGCUCGUG